GGGACUGUGGCUCAGUGGUGGAGUGUCUGCUUGGCUUGUAGAAGGUCCCAGGUUCAGUCCCCAGCAUCUUCA
rnacentral:tRNA from 1 species